rnacentral:lncRNA from 1 species
UGUAAAACAUUUGCAAAAUUGAAUACAAACGUUUAAAAAGUUAUUUACUUCUCAAGAAAACGUUCACGUUUUUAGUCGUGUUUCUACAAGAUUAAAGUGAUUAUAUGUAAACAGAAAAAUAUUUCAGUUUCAUAGCCUAAUUGUUCAUUUUUAGCAAAAAGUACAAAACCAAACACGAAACAAAAAAAACACGUCUCACACGUCCACCUGUUAGUAGGCUGUUACAGCUCAUAGAUUGAGUAAAUGGCAGGAUUCAAUCAGCUUCAACCUUGUUUUCAUCGAUUUAAUCCUUCACAAUAAUCCUUGGCUGUCCAUAGCACUCAAAUAAAUCGAAAAGUUGACAAAAACAAAACAGUAAAAACAACAUUGCCGCUCGAUUUUGCUGAAUGAAAACUCGUUCUGCGCCCGCGUACAAUCUUUUACUAGUCAGCGACGCUUUUCAAUAAGGGAAUUUCUCGAGUUACACGAGGCUAUUUUCUAACUUUAUUUGCAUUUUACUCAUUAGUUUCAUCGGUGACCUAUCUUCAAAUUUUGACCACGAAUUUAUUUUGCGGUAAAUUUUAUAAAUUUCAAAUUUUAAAAAAAUCUGUAGUGUGG